GACGAACGCUGGCGGCGUGCCUAAUACAUGCAAGUCGAGCGGACAGAUGGGAGCUUGCUCCCUGAUGUUAGCGGCGGACGGGUGAGUAACACGUGGGUAACCUGCCUGUAAGACUGGGAUAACUCCGGGAAACCGGGGCUAAUACCGGAUGGUUGUUUGAACCGCAUGGUUCAAACAUAAAAGGUGGCUUCGGCUACCACUUACAGAUGGACCCGCGGCGCAUUAGCUAGUUGGUGAGGUAACGGCUCACCAAGGCAACGAUGCGUAGCCGACCUGAGAGGGUGAUCGGCCACACUGGGACUGAGACACGGCCCAGACUCCUACGGGAGGCAGCAGUAGGGAAUCUUCCGCAAUGGACGAAAGUCUGACGGAGCAACGCCGCGUGAGUGAUGAAGGUUUUCGGAUCGUAAAGCUCUGUUGUUAGGGAAGAACAAGUACCGUUCGAAUAGGGCGGUACCUUGACGGUACCUAACC
rnacentral:rRNA from 1 species